rnacentral:rRNA from 1 species
AUUGAACGCUGGCGGCAUGCCUUACACAUGCAAGUCGAACGAGUGGCGGACGGGUGAGUAAUGUAUCGGAACGUGCCCAGUGGCGGGGGAUAACUACUCGAAACAGUGGCUAAUACCGCAUACUCUUGGAGCGGCCGAUAUGGGAUUAGCUAGUUGGUGGGGUAAAGGCUCACCAAGGCCACGAUCCGUAGCUGGUUUGAGAGGAGGACCAGCCACACUGGGACUGAGACACGGCCCAGACUCCUACGGGAGGCAGCAGUGGGGAAUUUUGGACAAUGGGGGAAACCCUGAUGCAGCCAUCCCGCGUGUAUGAGAAGGCCUUCGGGUUGUAAAGUACUUUUGGCAGAGAAGCGUUACCUGCAGAAUAAGCACCGGCUAACUACGUGCCAGCAGCCGCGGUAAUUC